rnacentral:rRNA from 1 species
CCUGCAGUCGACGGGAUCCAUCAGGCUUUGCUUGGUGGUGAGAGUGGCGAACGGGUGAGUAAUGCGUGACCGACCUGCCCCAUGCACCGGAAUAGCUCCUGGAAACGGGUGGUAAUGCCGGAUGCUCCAUCACACUGCAUGGUGUGUUGGGAAAGCCUUUGCGGCAUGGGAUGGGGUCGCGUCCUAUCAGCUUGAUGGCGGGGUAACGGCCCACCAUGGCUUCGACGGGUAGCCGGCCUGAGAGGGCGACCGGCCACAUUGGGACUGAGAUACGGCCCAGACUCCUACGGGAGGCAGCAGUGGGGAAUAUUGCACAAUGGGCGCAAGCCUGAUGCAGCGACGCCGCGUGAGGGAUGGAGGCUUUCGGGUUGUAAACCUCUUUUGUUAGGGAGCAAGGCACUUUGUGUUGAGUGUACCUUUCGAAUAAGCACCGGCUAACUACGUGCCAGCAGCCGCGGUAAUACGUAGGGUGCAAGCGUUAUCCGGAAUUAUUGGGCGUAAAGGGCUCGUAGGCGGUUCGUCGCGUCCGGUGUGAAAGUCCAUCGCUUAACGGUGGAUCCGCGCCGGGUACGGGCGGGCUUGAGUGCGGUAGGGGAGACUGGAAUUCCCGGUGUAACGGUGGAAUGUGUAGAUAUCGGGAAGAACACCAAUGGCGAAGGCAGGUCUCUGGGCCGUUACUGACGCUGAGGAGCGAAAGCGUGGGGAGCGAACAGGAUUAGAUACCCUGGUAGUCCACGCCGUAAACGGUGGAUGCUGGAUGUGGGGCCCGUUCCACGGGUUCCGUGUCGGAGCUAACGCGUUAAGCAUCCCGCCUGGGGAGUACGGCCGCAAGGCUAAAACUCAAAGAAAUUGACGGGGGCCCGCACAAGCGGCGGAGCAUGCGGAUUAAUUCGAUGCAACGCGAAGAACCUUACCUGGGCUUGACAUGUUCCCGACGAUCCCAGAGAUGGGGUUUCCCUUCGGGGCGGGUUCACAGGUGGUGCAUGGUCGUCGUCAGCUCGUGUCGUGAGAUGUUGGGUUAAGUCCCGCAACGAGCGCAACCCUCGCCCCGUGUUGCCAGCGGAUUAUGCCGGGAACUCACGGGGGACCGCCGGGGUUAACUCGGAGGAAGGUGGGGAUGACGUCAGAUCAUCAUGCCCCUUACGUCCAGGGCUUCACGCAUGCUACAAUGGCCGGUACAACGGGAUGCGACAGUGCGAGCUGGAGCGGAUCCCUGAAAACCGGUCUCAGUUCGGAUCGCAGUCUGCAACUCGACUGCGUGAAGGCGGAGUCGCUAGUAAUCGCGAAUCAG